rnacentral:rRNA from 1 species
GACGAACGCUGGCGGCGUGCUUAACACAUGCAAGUCGAACGGAAAGGCCCUGCUUUUGUGGGGUGCUCGAGGGGCGAACGGGUGAGUAACACGUGAGUAACCUGCCCUUGACUUUGGGAUAACUUCAGGAAACUGGGGCUAAUACCGGAUAGGAGCGCCUGCUGCAUGGGGGGGGUUGGAAAGUUUCGGCGGUUGGGGGUGGAGUCGCGGCUUAUCAGCUUGUUGGGGGGGGAGUGGCUUACCAAGGCUUUGGCGGGUAGCCGGCCUGGGAGGGUGACCGGCCACAUUGGGACCGAGAUACGGCCCAGACUCCUACGGGAGGCAGCAGUGGGGAAUAUUGCACAAUGGGCGGAAGCCUGAUGCAGCAACGCCGCGUGCGGGAUGACGGCCUUCGGGUUGUAAACCGCUUUCGCCUGUGACGAAGCGUGAGUGACGGUAAUGGGUAAAGAAGCACCGGCUAACUACGUG